rnacentral:rRNA from 1 species
GACAGAGGGUGCAAACGUUGUUCGGAAUUACUGGGCGUAAAGCGUGUGUAGGCGGCCACGUAAGUCGGAUGUGAAAGCCCCAGGCUCAACCUGGGAAGUGCACUCGAUACUGCGUGGCUUGAGUAUCUGAGAGGUUGGUGGAAUUCUCGGUGUAGAGGUGAAAUUCGUAGAUAUCGAGAGGAACACCGGUGGCGAAGGCGGCCAACUGGACGAAUACUGACGCUGAGACGCGAAAGCGUGGGGAGCAAACAGG